CAGCCGCCGCGGGAAUACGGAGGGUGCAAGCGUUAAUCGGAAUUACUGGGCGUAAAGCGUGCGUAGGUGGUGGUUUAAGUCCGUUGUGAAAGCCCUGGGCUCAACCUGGGAAUUGCAGUGGAUACUGGGUCACUAGAGUGUGGUAGAGGAUAGUGGAAUUUCCGGUGUAGCAGUGAAAUGCGUAGAGAUCGGAAGGAACAUCUGUGGCGAAGGCGACUAUCUGGGCCAACACUGACACUGAGGCACGAAAGCGUGGGGAGCAAACAGGAUUAGAUACCCGUGUAGUCCCUGUCUCUUAUAC
rnacentral:rRNA from 1 species